UGAUGGCGACCGGCGCACGGGUGAGUAACACGUAUCCAACCUGCCGAUAACUCGGGGAUAGCCUUUCGAAAGAAAGAUUAAUACCCGAUGGCAUAAUUAGACCGCAUGGUUUGAUUAUUAAAGAAUUUCGGUUAUCGAUGGGGAUGCGUUCCAUUAGGCAGUUGGUGAGGUAACGGCUCACCAAACCUUCGAUGGAUAGGGGUUCUGAGAGGAAGGUCCCCCACAUUGGAACUGAGACACGGUCCAA
rnacentral:rRNA from 1 species